GUGUCACCCAGGGAUGUCCCCAGGGUCACUGGUGUCACUGUGUCACCCAGGGAUGUCCCCAGGGCCCAGCUGGCUCUCUCCCUGUGCCAGCAGCACGCCCAGGGCUCGGUGCAGCAGGGUCACUGGUGUCACUGGUGUCACUGGUGUCACUGGUGUCACCCAGGGAUGUCCCCAGGGCCCAGCUCUCCCCCUGUGCCAGCAGCACGCCCAGGGCUCGGUGCAGCAGGGUCACUGGUGUCACUGUGGUCACUGUGUCACCCAGGGAUGUCCCCAGGGCCCAGCUGGCUCUCUCCCUGUGCCAGCAGCACGCCCAGGGCUCGGUGCAGCAGGGUCACUGGUGUCACUGGUGUCACUGGUGUCACUGGUGUCACUGUGUCACCCAGGGAUGUCCCCAGGGCCCAGCUGGCUCUCAGGGUCACUGGUGGAUGUCCCCAGGGCCCAGCUGGCACUCCCCCUGUGCCAGCAGCACGCCCAGGGCUCGGUGCAGCAGGGUCACC